rnacentral:rRNA from 1 species
UACGUAGGGUCCGAGCGUUUGUCCGGAAUUAUUGGGCGUAAAGGGCGCGUAGGCGGCCGUUUGCGUCGGAUGUGAAAGCCCGGGGCUCAACCUCGGAACGGCAUUCGAUACGGGACGGCUGGAGACCGGGAGAGGAGAGUGGAAUAGCCAGUGUAGAGGUGAAAUUCGUAGAUAUUGGCUGGAACACCGGUGGCGAAAGCGGCUCUCUGGCCCGGUUCUGACGCUGAGGAGCGAAAGCGUGGGGAGCGAACAGG